rnacentral:rRNA from 1 species
AACGAACGCUGGCGGCAUGCCUAACACAUGCAAGUCGAACGAAGGCUUCGGCCUUAGUGGCGCACGGGUGCGUAACGCGUGGGAAUCUGCCCCUCGGUUCGGAAUAACAGUUAGAAAUGACUGCUAAUACCGGAUGAUGACUUCGGUCCAAAGAUUUAUCGCCGAGGGAUGAGCCCGCGUAAGAUUAGGUAGUUGGUGGGGUAAAGGCCUACCAAGCCGACGAUCUUUAGCUGGUCUGAGAGGAUGAUCAGCCACACUGGGACUGAGACACGGCCCAGACUCCUACGGGAGGCAGCAGUGGGGAAUAUUGGACAAUGGGCGAAAGCCUGAUCUAGCAAUGCCGCGUGAGUGAUGAAGGCCUUAGGGUUGUAAAGCUCUUUUACCAGGGAUGAUAAUGACAGUACCUGGAGAAUAAGCUCCGGCUAACUCCGUGCCAGCAGCAGCGGUAA